rnacentral:rRNA from 1 species
CUCCCUUCCUCACUCUUGCGUCGUAUCUCCUCCUCUUCCUCUCUCAAACCCUGAUCCCGCGCUCGCACGGUACCUGUCGCGCCACCUCCGCUCUUCGGUGCAUCCUCUCCUCCUCCACGCCCCCUUGGCGCACCGCCGCCGCCGCUCGCCGUCGCCUCCCCUCCUCCACGCCACCUUCCACCCCUCUCCAGCCAGCCUACUCCCUCCUCCCUUCCCUCCCCACUCCUCCCUAUGUCCCUCGUUGCUGCACCACGCCCUCCCCCACCUUCAAAGGCAGCCUGGACCUGAUCUGGAGGAAGAAGAAGAGGGCACAAGAAGAGGAGAACAAGAAAGCUUCCCCAACUUCCCCCUUCACCAAAUAUUUGUGAUUUGAUCAUAAAGGGAUCUGUUUAGGGUUUGCUUGCUGGUCCAUCCUGGUCAGGGUCUGUUUCUGCUCUUGGCUGCUGGGCUGGUAGGUCGUGCCAUUGCUGAUGCUCGAGGUUGCUUCACUGGUCUCCUUGGAGGUCGAAGGGGUGUCAGUGGAAGCGCGGCGUGCCGCUGGUAUAUCAACGACGACAUUUCUGAGAUGAUAGACUUCCAUAGAAGAGGUACUACCCGCUGGAUCGAUUCCACCACUUCUCAUGAACAGACAAGAUGCUGAGCAUGCACACAUAGAUACAGUCAAAGGACCCGGCCACUCCAAAAGGCAAAUCAACUAAUCGUUUCCCGGCCUCUUUGAAGAAAUUCUAGAGCUGCUCUCAUGUUGUCUAGAUGGGUCCAAUUAAUAUGAUCCAAGUUCUGCUUGCAAAUGAUUUUGCAAUUGCAUCAUUAGCUUGCUAAUUUUGCCGUUUGCAUUAGCAUAAGAGGGGCCUGACAAAACUGAAGUGGCCAGUACUCAGCUGUAAGCCUUUAUUUCCAAAUGAUAGCAUCCAGAAAACUGGGCUGCUGGAGGAUGAAAUCCAUGCUUUGGAUGAUGAAGCUGCUGCUGAGCUGAGAAUCAUGUCAUGUCCAGGGCAAAGUUCAAGAGAAUGUUGACUGGAUCGGUGCUUCAGCGUGUGUUGGAUGGAAAAGCCGCUUCUAUCCAGCACCGCUUUCCUUAUGCGAUGUUGCUUAAAAUUCAGUGUUCUAUUUUGUCAUCCAUGGUUAACCUUACCUUUUAUCUAUGAACAAGCAUUCUCAACAGUUAGUGCUCGGUUUGUAAUGAAUAUUAUGUUGCAUCGAAAUUGCUUGAUGUGUUCAACUUUUGUAGUAAUGCCUACCUCUGAAUAUUAUGUUGCAUCAAAACUGUUUUUUGCUCUCUCGGACCUGUAUUGCUUUGUAUGAAAAAUAGC